rnacentral:lncRNA from 1 species
AAUAGGAAAGUUGUAGAGGCAGUUUCACUUGUCUGAGAUCAUGGUUUUCUCAUACAUAAAUUGGAAUGGAGAUAUGAAGUAUGGGUUGGAGAUAGGAGAAUAAGGAGUAAGGGAUAUAUUUUGAAUGGCAGAAUAGUUGGAGUUAGUUUUAUUGUGGCAGAUGGAGGAUAAAGUGCAUUUCCCCCCCUUAGUUUUAUUUCCAUAUAUUCAACUGACCUUUUCUUGAUUGUUCCUGUAAAAUUGGAGGUUGGGACACUUUCAAAACUAUCUAUAAUUGUACCUUAUAAUUGUGAUACAUUAUGGACAGGACUGAAUUUCUCCUGGGUAAUGAAUACUGUCAUGAGAUCAUCAGAUUUCUUUUAUUUCCCACAAGUUAAUACAUUUAAGAAUAAAAUAUAUGUUUAGGCAUGUCACAUAGACAAGCUUUAAAUAUAAUGAUAUGAAGCUUUAUGUUUUUUAAACAAUUAUUUUGUCCAUCUUGUUUGUUUGUUUUAACCAGUUACCCAUGGGUGUAUUGUUUCCACAAUAAAACUUUUUCUACCAGAUGGUAUGGAAGCCCGACUCCGCUCAGAUGUCAUCCAUGCUCCAUUACCAAGUCCUGUUGACAAAGUAAGUUACUAAUGAUUUCUUCCAAACUGGCACAGCUAAUAUUGCUUUGGGAAUAUUUUUGUUUGUGUUUGUUUGUUUUCAAUGUGUUCUACCU